AUUGAACGCUGGCGGCAUGCCUUACACAUGCAAGUCGAACGGCAGCACGGGUGCUUGCACCUGGUGGCGAGUGGCGAACGGGUGAGUAAUACAUCGGAACGUACCUUAUCGUGGGGGAUAACGCAGCGAAAGCUGUGCUAAUACCGCAUACGCCCUGAGGGGGAAAGCGGGGGAUCGCAAGACCUCGCGCGAUUAGAGCGGCCGAUGCCGGAUUAGCUUGUUGGUGGGGUAAAAGUCCACCAAGGCGACGAUCAGUAGCUGGUCUGAGAGGAGACACAGCCACACGGGGACUGAGACACGGCCCAGACUCCCACGGGAGGCAGCAGUGGGUAAUUUUGGACAAUGGGGGCAACCCUGAUACAGCAAUGCCGCGUGAGUGAAGAAGGCCUUCGGGUUGUAAAGCUGUUUUGUCAGGGAAGAAACACCGGCUCUAACACAGUCCGGGAAUGACGGUACCUGAAGAAUAAGCACCGGCUAACUACGUGCCAGCAGCCGCCGUAA
rnacentral:rRNA from 1 species